UGGAAACCGGUGGACCCCAAAGAAAAGUCCUCAAAAAAAAAAAGGAAAAGACCUGAGAAACUCUAUUGACAUGUGAUGCUAGUGUCCAGGACCACAGAGGCCGGUGGGAGGUGAUUGCUCCACUUCUACGCCACCCUUGAUCGCAUAAACGAACAAUAUCCUUCUAAAACCUUUGCCAUAUAUUAUUUUCUUUCUUAGUUUCGUUGGUACUAAAACGCAUAUUUGCUUUGUUUCAGAAUUCUUCAUAAUAACGAGCUAAAGGUUAUCGACCCGUGGUUUUUGAUGGGCGUUGUAGUUUCCAACGUGUCAUUGGUGAGAAACAACAUAAGAGAAAUAGAAAAAAACGCGUUUCGAAUCAGCCAAUCCGUAAUUAUCGAAGGAAACAAGAUCCCUAAAAUCAAACAAGAACAUUUUUAUUAUAAUAAAAGCCAUUAUUUGGAACUCAAGAAAAGACUACAAAAAGGGGACCAGACACUUAUUGACAUGACAUUAUAUAACAUACA